AGUUUUUUAUCGUCACUUUCUUAGCCUCAUUCACAAUCGCAGUGGCCGCCUAAGAGCUUUCGCCUUCGCCAGGCUCGAGAGCUUAUGCUGCAUCUAUCCUUCCUUGGAUGUCUGAGACU